GACGAACGCUGGCGGCGUGCUUAACACAUGCAAGUCGAACGAAGAGCGAUGGAAGCUUGCUUCUAUCAAUCUUAGUGGCGAACGGGUGAGUAACGCGUAAUCAACCUGCCCUUCAGAGGGGGACAACAGUUGGAAACGACUGCUAAUACCGCAUACGAUCCAAUCUCGGCAUCGGGACUGGAUGAAAGGUGGCCUCUAUUUAUAAGCUAUCACUGAAGGAGGGGAUUGCGUCUGAUUAGCUAGUUGGAGGGGUAACGGCCCACCAAGGCGAUGAUCAGUAGCCGGUCUGAGAGGAUGAACGGCCACAUUGGGACUGAGACACGGCCCAGACUCCUACGGGAGGCAGCAGUGGGGAAUCUUCCGCAAUGGACGAAAGUCUGACGGAGCAACGCCGCGUGAGUGAUGACGGCCUUCGGGUUGUAAAGCUCUGUUAAUCGGGACGAAUGAUUCUUGUGCAAAUAGUGCGAGGAUUUGACGGUA
rnacentral:rRNA from 1 species